rnacentral:rRNA from 1 species
AACGAACGCUGGCGGCAGGCCUAACACAUGCAAGUCGAGCGCCCCGCAAGGGGAGCGGCGGACGGGUGAGUAACGCGUGGGAACGUACCCCUUUGGUUCGGAAUAGCCCUGGGAAACUGGGAGUAAUACCGGAUACGGUCGAGAGACGAAAGAUUUAUCGCCGAAGGAUCGGCCCGCGUUGGAUUAGGUAGUUGGUGGGGUAAAGGCCUACCAAGCCGACGAUCUGUAGCUGGUCUGAGAGGACGACCAGCCACACUGGGACUGAGACACGGCCCAGACUCCUACGGGAGGCAGCAGUGGGGAAUUUUGGACAAUGGGCGCAAGCCUGAUCCAGCAAUGCCGCGUGCAGGAAGAAGGCCUUCGGGUUGUAAACUGCUUUUGUACGGAACGAAACGGUCUGGGUUAAUACCCUGGGCUAAUGACGGUACCGUAAGAAUAAGCACCGGCUAACUACGUG